UACGUAGGGUGCGAGCGUUGUCCGGAAUUAUUGGGCGUAAAGAGCUCGUAGGCGGCCUGUCGCGUCGGUUGUGAAAGCCCGGGGCUUAACCCCGGGUCUGCAGUCGAUACGGGCAGGCUAGAGUUCGGUAGGGGAGAUCGGAAUUCCUGGUGUAGCGGUGAAAUGCGCAGAUAUCAGGAGGAACACCGGUGGCGAAGGCGACAUCCUGGACCGGUAUUGACGCUGAGGCGCGAAAGCCAGGGGAGCAAACGGG
rnacentral:rRNA from 1 species